CGCCUCCAUUUCGUCGUCCUUUCUCUACCUGAACUCUAAUUUGCCGGAAGCGUUUCCCGCCUCUUUUUGUCCAUUGUCAAUCGAGAGAGAGAGAGAGGGAUCGGAGCCCGAACUGAGCUUUUGUUUGGACAGCAAUGGCGGCUUCUUCUUCAUCCAGAGACGAUUUUUCGGGGACCGACGAUUUGUUGGGGACCAUCGAUCCCGCGUCUUCUUCGUCGCCGUCCUCCUCCUCCGGCGUGGAGAUGCUGAAGCGCGCGUGGAGGAACGAGAAGGCGGCCCCGGAGAUUCUCCAGUAUGAGGAAGAGUUGGUCGAGACCUUCCGCGAACAAAUCCGAUCGAGAGAAGAUAUCAUCGAUAAUUAUUCUGGUGGUGGAACUGAAGAUCUCAUGUUAUCGCUUUUUCGCAUGGAUUUGGACCGUACAUUGUUCAUUUUGCGGUCCUAUCUCAGGAUUAGGCUACAAAAGAUUGAAAAGCAUGUGUUUCACAUUUGUAAGAGUAAUCUUUGGAAUAGGCUCUCUAAGACAGAACAGAACUUUGCUACAAGGUGUACAGACAUCCUGGAAAAACAUCUUGAACAGUCUGUGCUGGGGAAAUUGCCUUAUGGCUAUCAGUCCAUAUUGAAGCAGUCCAUCUCCAGUGAAGAUAUCGACAUGGUUCCUGAGCCUCGGUUGGACACUUUUGUCUUUUGCAAGAGUCGGGAUUCCAUUGGAUCCUUCCAGCUGGAUGAUUACGGAGAGGAAAUUGUGGACCUGGUUGCUGAUGAUCUAUACAUCCUGCGGUACAAAUCUAUCAAGGCACUUGUGGAGAAUGGAAGAAUAGAUCUUCUCUAAGAUGCCUAGUCCUCUUAUUCUACCAGUAGUGUUGUGCCACUUGGCAUGAUCUGAGCAGCAUAUACUUCCACAUCUUCUCUUAGCCGUCAAGCAAAUGGCCUAAAGCAUCUUCAGGACAAGGGAAUCAACCACAUACUUUGUUGUCCAUGAAUAUGUGAACGAUGAUGGUUCCUAUAAUUCCAAGGGAAUAAAAAAAAGGAUGUACCGCUCCGGCACCCGCACCUCUCACCUAUGUGAC